GAGCUAGAAAAUGAUGAUAUUGACAUGUUAAAAGAGCUUGGGAGUCUCACCACUGCUAACCUGAUGGAGAAAGUACGAGGCCUGCAGAACUUGGCUUAUCAGCUGGGGUUGGAUGAAUAUCCAGUGGCAGAGAUCAAGUGAUGACUGGAGAAUCUUACUUUGAUUUUUAGAUAAGCCUGGACCUCACUGGCUGCAGAUGAGAACAUGACCUCAGUACACCUCAGUGAUGUCAAAACCCCAAGGCUGUGGUCCCAGAAGGGAAGGAUGCAUUGAAGAAGUGAACUGGCAACUCUGACGCUGGUGCCACUGAAAAGGCUUCAGAUUCCUUGACCACAGUGUGUACUUCAGGGAGAGAGGACUCCUGAGAGGGGACGGCAUGCACCUCACGAAGAAAGAUAAGUCCCUGUUUGCGGCCAGGAUGGCCAAUCUUCUGGACAGGGCUUUAAACUAAGAUUGCUGGGGGGCGGGGAUACACAAAUUUAAACAUAUCCAGGGACCAACAUAUAAGUAAGCCCUGUAGAUAGGGACACUGGGAUAGCCACUUUUGCGGGAGAUGAGGGAAUAGUUCUUCAUCAGCGGGACAGGACAAUGAGAGCCUCAGUAGGAGGACUCAGGUGCCUAUAUACUAACACCAGGACCAUGGGGAACAAGCAGGAGCAGCUAGUUCUCCUACUCUCCAGUAGGCAUUAUGAUCUAGUAGGGAUUAAGGCGACCUGGCGCAACUCCUCACGUGACUGGCGUGUAGCUAUAGAGAGCUACACCCUCCAUAGAAGGGUGGGGAAGAAAGAUGGAGGCAUUGCUCUGUAUGUGAAAAAGCAGUACACCUCCUUGGAGGCCAACAUUGGCUCCAAAAAUGGACAGCUUGACACCUUCUGGGUCAAGUUGCGGGGGAAAGCAGGGGGUGUGGCGAGAGAGACCUAACUGUGGGUGUAUACUAUAGACCACCAAACCAGGGGGAGGAAUUCGAUCUGCAGUUCACUCGAGAAUUGACUGAGGCCUCACAUGCAUGUGACAUGAUUGUCAUGGGUGAUUUUAUUUAUCCAGACAUCUCCUGGGAGGAA